GACUGGCUGCAGUGGGAGGAGACAGAACUGUGACACAAAGAAGUCCAGAGGCAGGAUGUUGCCUGCUGGACCUGAUGCCCAGGAUAUGCAGAGUCCUGGGUGAUAUUUAGAAAACUUUUACAGGCAGAACUUGCCAGGGGUGGCAACCAGUAAUGAAGAGAGUGUAAGAAAGACCUUUAUGUGCAGAUUUAUAGUUUUUAUUUUACUUUUUGUACAUAUUAUGUAUAUAUUUUAUAUUGUCAAGGUGCUGGGGAGGAAGAUCCCCCUUUUUGAAACAAGUGUUUUAUUGUUGCUCCAUGUGUCAUUUUCUUUGGGGUGGGUGGGUGGAGUGGUUUUCGGAGACCGUGCCCACCUCAGUGUGGGGAUUGCUGUGUUUAGGGGGUUUUAUGCAGUCAUUGCAUUACUGGAAAGAGUUGCGAAGAGUUGCAGGGUGGACUGUUAUCAGAGGGAGGUCAAAUGCUUGUUAAGUGGUAGGGUGCAGACCAAACAACCCCACCCACCCCCAGCAGCAAGCAGGCAAUCUGCAAAACUUCUCCAUGCAUGGACCUCCCAGGGCCUUUAGCAAGUCUUUAAUGUAUUAUAAUGCAUUUUAUAUGCAUGGUUGCUGGGGAGGGUGGGGGAUGGUGGAGGGUGGAGACCUUAAUGCCUGCUGCUACAGCUCCAAAACAUCUUUUUUUUUUCUGACACCCUGGCAGUUUUUUCUUUGCAGCUGUACUGUUAUGGGAGGUGCCAUGCAAAAGUGAUUUUUUUUUCAAUGCUUUCUUUGCAAUGCAAUGUUCUCUUUACAAAAUCCUGCAUGCAGCACUUUUUGGAGCUGGAUUUGCAGAUCGCGCCCCCUCCCCCUCUCUGGAGAGAGCUCUUUGGAGUUUUGUCAGGAUUGCUUUGUCCUUCAUUGCCAUCUCUCUCCUCUCAGCCUCCUCAUAGGACAGGGAGAAGGCGAGAGGGAAAUGAGGAGCAGCGCUCCCAAGGCAGCCCAGAGUAAUCUGUUCAGCUACUUCUAAGCCUCUACAGAAUCAAGUGUAUUCAAAGAAAGCAUCAUUGUGGGAGAACUUUUCAUCCAAAUUCAAGAAAUUUAUACUACCUCCUUCUCCUAGGUAUUGGCAUGUCCUAAUCAGAUGGGUCUCUGAUACCUCAAGAAGUCAUCCUAGCAGGGAGCUGCUAAUCAGCCUAGGCCAGGGUUUCAAAAAGCACUCUGCUCCCUAUAGAGAGGCCAGAAGUGUUAUGCAGCAGAUGGCUAUCCCCAGAAGUUGAGGUACCUGGAGGGGAGGCCAACCAACCUGAAAUACGGGCCCUGACCAGCUUUGGGUUCAGCCUGGGAAGCUGCUGCACUCCUGCCCCUGGCCGGCUGCAAACCGCUCCCCCACUCCCAGGUCCACACCACGAAAUCAAGCAGGAGCAAAUACAAAUCAGAAUUUUUGGUUCCUCAUCUUUAUUUUUUUCCACAAUAAAUUGAAUUACAAAUCAAUUUGAUUGAGAAAUCACAAUAAACCUGGGGAUUACUACUUCAAUGCUUGAGAAACUGCUGAAAUGUUCAGUGGCAAGAUGUGUUCCUGCUUUAACAGCAUUAAUGACAAUAAUAAUAAAAAUAAUAAUAAUAAGAUGAUACAGGUACCCAGAGCACUUGGAAUACCCAGAGGAAAGUGAAGAAGUGGAAAAUGACCGGGCUCUGUUGAGAAACCUGAGAAGGACCAGAACCCACAUGGCAUGAAGAGAGCAGCUCUGACUGGUGGGAACAAAUUGUGCUGAUGACUUGGAACGACCAGCAGUGGCUGGAGAUGUUCCAAAUGAUGAGGGAGAUGUUCUAUCAUAUCGUCUCAAUGCUGGGGCCCCACAUUGUGAGGCAGGACACUGACAUGCGUUGGGCCAUCCCACCAGACAAGAGGGUUGCAAUGGUCAUCAUGAAACUGUCCAGCCCAUCCAGCCUCAGGUACAUCACAAACCAGUUUGGCAUAGCUGCCUGCACCAUCGGGUUGGCAACUCGUGAGGUAUGCUAAAGGAAAUCGCUUCAAACAAAAUUAUCUGCGUGGCAAAUCCACAGCAAGUCAUAGAUGGCUUCAAUGACAAGGGGGUCCUGAACUGUGUGGGGGCUUUAGACAGCACUCACAUCCCAGUGCUGUGCCCUGUGGGGAAAGGUAAGGCUUACACAAACAAGAAAGGAUGAUCCCACAAGCCGUGUGGACCACCAGGCUGGUUCACGAACAUGUAUGCCAGGUGGGCCAGCAGCACACUAUGCAUUCCGGUUCAGAAACCUCCCAUCUGCCUGGCCUUGUGGAGAAAGGACACUAUGCACCCAGCGUGUAGAAGACAACGAUCUGUGACAUUGCCGUUCUCCUGAUUAUAUUAGCUGAUGCUGGCUAUCCCCUAAAGCCCUGGCUCAUGAAGCCUUAUGGAGAGAACAUCACAGACCCACAGAAGCUCUGUUUUAACUACCAUCUGAGCAGUUGCAGGGUGGCAGUGGAAUGUGUGUUUGGCUUACUGAAAGGACGAUGGGACCAGAAAAUAUCAUGGCCUUUGUAGUGGCAGCCUAUGUGCUGCACAAUAUCUGAGACAGCCAUGGAGAGGUUUUCAAGGAGUUGUGGGAAGAAGCAGCAUGGCAGGCAGCGGCCAGACAACAGAUGUGUCCAGGCAGCAGCAGCAGCACAGGGACUGAGGAGAUAUCCUCAAGGAGAGGAUGUUUGGGCAGCCCUUGUGCAUGAUUGGCAGGAUAUAUUGCUGACAACAUCACCUAGGAGUGCUUUGUUCUCUCUCUUGGUUAUGUUAAAAUUAAUUCAUUUACACUUUAAAUCUGGUGUCUGUAUACAAGGGUGUGUGGUGUUGUGGAUGGAGAGCAGAGGGGAGGAUGUUCAGGGGAAGGGGGAGGAAAUCUGGACUGGGCUUGGGGUUUGCUGCUUCCAGCCUGUCAGUGGUUUGGGGGAGGGGGGCAUUACACACCAUCACCCACAUCUGAAUGAGCCCCCCGCCCCCCCAACAUGGGUGAGAAGUUUAUCUAUAGCUCUUGGAGGGCUAGGUGGGUGGGGGACCAAGCCGAACAGCAACCCACAUUUUCAAAAAUAUUGUGGUGGGCAUGUUUGUUAUUACCCUGAAAUAAAAUAGUUUUCUGAUAGCAUACUGUUAGGUUAACAAUAAUU